UACGGAGGGUGCGAGCGUUGUCCGGAAUUACUGGGCGUAAAGAGCUCGUAGGUGGUUUGUCGCGUUGUUCGUGAAAACUCACAACUCAAUUGUGGGCGUGCGGGCGAUACGGGCAGACUGGAGUACUGCAGGGGAGACUGGAAUUCCUGGUGUAGCGGUGGAAUGCGCAGAUAUCAGGAGGAACACCGGUGGCGAAGGCGGGUCUCUGGGCAGUAACUGACGCUGAGGAGCGAAAGCUAGGGGAGCGAACAGG
rnacentral:rRNA from 1 species